UUUCUUAACAUUGAAAAAAUUGCAGUUUAACAGUGGAAAACUUACAAGUAAGCACCAAUUGUUUGGUGCUUUUAAAAGCACCGAGCGUAACCGGACUCUAUAUAUAUAUAGUCAGGCUAGUAUGCUAUCGAUAUAUAGUAUCGAGAAUUUGGUACUAUUGAGUUUUUCACUGUUAGAUUUAAUUCUUUGAUUAUUUUUACCUGUUAGAUUAUACUAUUCAACCAACCACUUGUUCAACCCUAGGGAACCCACAUCAUCCUAACCACACAUUUCUCAAUCCAAUGGCCAAUAGCAUCAAUAGCUUGAUACUAUUAAUAAUAUUCUAGCCUAGUUAUAUAUAUAUAUAUAUAGAGCAGGGCUGCUGUGCUCUCAGGAGCACGGAAGCCUCCGUGCUCCUGAGCCGUUUUCGAUGAUGGAGUUUUCGAAUCGACAAUCGGCUCCGUUAAACUUGAUCUAGCGUAUUUAAAGUUUCUAGAAAAUAAUUUUUGCGAUUUUUCGAUAUCAUUUACCUAGCAAUUGAACGGAAAAAUCAAUGAUUUUAAAGUGUAGAAUAAUCUUUAAAAAAUGUUGAUAGGAGUUUUAUAAUCUAGAUCAAGAGUAUAGAUCUUGUUUUAAAUAGUUUAAAGAAUUUUCUAACAAAAAUUCAAUUGAUUUGGAUAUCUUUACGCCGUUAAACGAGAAAACGCCUCUUAUCGACCAUUAAAAUUACAAAUUUUGAAACCCUUUGAUCAUUAGGCAAAUGAUAUCGAAAAGAUUUAAAAUUUGAUUUCUAAACACUUUAAGUGGUAUAGAUCAUGUUCAACGGAGCCGAUCGUCAAUUUGGAAGUUUUAUCAUCAAAAACAAAUCGGUAGUAAACGGCUCGUUUACUACCAAUAGUAUUCCAGCUCAACUCUCUCUCUCUCUCUCUCUCUCUCUCUCUCUCUCUCUCUAUAUAUAUAUAUAUAUAGCUAGUCUCCCAAACUAUCUGUAGUACUGGGGCUCCGGUACUAUAGUCCCGUUUUUGAUCUUAGAGUGUUCAAAUCAACGAUCCACACCGUUAAAACUGAUAUAUGGUAUUUAAAGUUUUUAAAAAUAAAUUUUUAUAUAUUUUCGACAUAGUUUACUUUAUGAUCAAACCGUUUCAAAAUUGUCAAUUUUCAACGGCUAUUAUGGCGAGUUUGGAGUUUAACGGUGUAGAAGAAUCUAAAUUUCUUCAAAUUUUGAUAGAAAAUACUUUAAACUAUCUAGAUUAAGGUUAACAUUCUUGAUCUUGGAUUUAAAAGUCGUAUGCUUAAAUUUUAAAGAUUAUUCAAUUUUCACCGUCUAUUUUGAUAUAAUUUAUUUACCAAGUAAACGAUGUCGAAAAAAUUAAAAAUUUUAUUUUCUAAAAAUUUCACAUACCUUAAAUCGUAUUUAAUGGUGCGGAUCGUUAAUUUGAAUACCAUAAGAUCGAAAACAAAACUAUAGUACCAGAGCUCCGGUACUAUAGAUAGUAUAAUAGCCUAAUUAUAUAUAUAUACUGGAAUACUAUUAAUAACACCAAAUUGUCGAUGCUAUUAAUUUUUUAGCCAUUGGAUUGAGAAAUUAAUGUGUGAUUAGGAUGAUGUGGGCUUUCUAAGGUUGAGUGAGUGGUUGGUUGAAUAGUACAAUCUAACGGGUAAUUAAAAAUAAUUAAAAGGUUAAAUCUAAAGGUGGAAUAGUCUUGCUGAUGCAAUAGUUUAUGUUUGGAUAAAUUGCACAAUUAGAACCUGAAGGUUCGUGAAGCCUAAAGUUUCAAUUUAGUAUCUGGAGAUUCCAAACUAUCAUAAUUAUUUCACUCCAGUCCUUUAGAAAAAAAAAAAUUAUCAUCAAUUUUGUACUUUUAAUAAAUUGAUCCAGUUUCUUAACAUUGAAAAAAUUGCAGUUUAACAGUGGAAAACUUACAAGUAAGCACCAAGUGUUUGGUGCUUUUAAAAGCGCCGAGCGUAAUCGGACUCUAUAUAUAUAUAUAUAGUCGGGCUAGUAUGCUAUCGAUAUAUAGUAUCGAGAAUUUGGUGCUAUUGAGUUUUUCAUUGUUAGAUUUAAUUCUUUGAUUAUUUUUACCUGUUAGAUUAUACUAUUCAACCAACCACUUGUUCAACCCUAGGGAACCCACAUCAUCUUAACCACACAUUUCUCAAUCCAAUGGCCAAAUAUUAAUAGCAUCAAUAGCUUGGUACUAUUAAUAGUAUUCUAGC
rnacentral:lncRNA from 1 species